UACGAAGGGGGCUAGCGUUGCUCGGAAUUACUGGGCAUAAAGCGCACGUAGGCGGUCUUUUAAGUCGGGGGUGAAAUCCUGGAGCUCAACUCCAGAACUGCCUUCGAUACUGGAAGACUCGAGUCCGGGAGAGGUGAGUGGAACUGCGAGUGUAGAGGUGAAAUUCGUAGAUAUCGGGAGGAACACCAGUGGCGAAGGCGACUACCUGGCCUGUUCUUGACGCUGAGGCGCGAAAGCUAGGGGAGCAAACGGG
rnacentral:rRNA from 1 species